rnacentral:rRNA from 1 species
CAGUGGCGAACGGGCGAGUAACGCGUAGGUAACUCACCUCUGAGACGGGGAUAACCCGGAGAAAUCCGGGCUAAUACCCGAUAGUCCCAAAGCAACACAAGUUGCUUUGGGUAAAAGGUUGAGGGUUUUCCUCUUCCGCUCUGAGAGAGGCCUGCGUCCUAUCAGCUAGUUGGUGAGGUAACGGCUCACCAAGGCGAUGACGGGUAGCCGGCCUGAGAGGGUGGUCGGCCGCAGGGGCACUGAGACACGGGCCCCACUCCUACGGGAGGCAGCAGCCGAGAAUCUUGGGCAAUGGGUGAAAGCCUGACCCAGCGACGCCGCGCGCGGGAAGAAGGCUUCGGGUUGUAAACCGCUUUUAACUACGAAUAAGAGGUGGAAUUUUUUCUCCACCUCUGACGGUAGUAGUUGAAUAAGGGGCUGCUAAUCACGUGCCAGCAGCAGCGGUAAUACGUGAGCCCCAAGCGUUAUCCGGAUUUACUGGGCGUAAAGAAUGCGCAGGGGGUUUGGUAAGUCAGAAGUCAAAGCCUCUGGCUCAACCAGGGAAAGGCUUCUGAUACUGCCAGACUAGAGGAGGCGAGAGGUGAGGGGAACGCACGGUGUAGGGGUGAAAUCCGUUGAUAUCGUGCGGAACACCGAAAGCGAAAGCACCUCACUUGCGCCUUCCUGACCCUGGUGCGCAUGAAAGCCCGGGGAGCGAACGGGAUUAGAUACCCCGGUAGUCCGGGCCCUAAACGAUGGACGCUAGCUAUGGGGAGUGUCGACCCUCUCCGUGGCGCAGCUAAUGCGUUAAGCGUCCCGCCUGGGGAGUACGGCCGCAAGGCUGAAACUCAAAGGAAUAGACGG